CCUAACACAUGCAAGUCGAACGGUAACAGGAAGAAGCUUGCUUCUUUGCUGACGAGUGGCGGACGGGUGAGUAAUGUCUGGGAAACUGCCUGAUGGAGGGGGAUAACUACUGGAAACGGUAGCUAAUACCGCAUAACGUCGCAAGACCAAAGAGGGGGACCUUCGGGCCUCUUGCCAUCGGAUGUGCCCAGAUGGGAUUAGCUAGUAGGUGGGGUAACGGCUCACCUAGGCGACGAUCCCUAGCUGGUCUGAGAGGAUGACCAGCCACACUGGAACUGAGACACGGUCCAGACUCCUACGGGAGGCA
rnacentral:rRNA from 1 species